rnacentral:rRNA from 1 species
ACGCUCGACACCACGGAGGGCAGCAGUCGGGAAUAUUGCGCAAUGGAGGAAACUCUGACGCAGUGACGCCGCGUGCAGGAAGAAGGUUUUCGGAUUGUAAACUGCUUUAGACAGGGAAGAACAAAUGACAGUACCUGUAGAAUAAGCUCCGGCUAACUACGUGCCGGCAGCCGCGGUAAUACUGAGCGGGCGUGGCGAAGGACG